ACUUGAGCAGCUCCGGAACUGCCGUUGUGCUGGCCGGGCUCCCGGCUCCGCCCUCUACGCUGUCGAGCGAGGACCUCGGCUUACGAGGGGUGGAGCUAGCGCAGGCGCCUAGAGCAGCUUCGGGAUCUCCAGGCUCCGAGACGCCGCCCUGCGCUCACCCGGUGGAAAUCGUGCGUCCGGCUGCCCUAAGGGCGCUUUUCACUGCGCACUGUGGACCUGCUGCUGCAGAGGGAUAGAGCCUUUUAGUUUCCUUGUUUUGUGCCCCGUACAAAUGCAGGCAUGAUGGAGAUCAAAUGGUCCAGCUCCCAGCUGGUCUUGAAGGAUUUAAGGGCUUGAAAACCGACGAGGACAUCGCUUGGCACAUAAGGAAACGCUCAAUAAAUGAUUCUAAUUAUA